AUUGAACGCUGGCGGCAGGCUUAACACAUGCAAGUCGAGCGAGCGGCGGACGGGUGAGUAAUGUCUGGGAAACUGCCUGAUGGAGGGGGAUAACUACUGGAAACGGUAGCUAAUACCGCAUACCAUCGGAUGUGCCCAGAUGGGCUUAGCUAGUAGGUGGGGUAAAGGCGCACCUAGGCGACGAUCCCUAGCUGGUCUGAGAGGAUGACAAGCCACCCGGGAACGGAGACGCGGUCCUGAAUCCUACGGGAGGCAGCAGUGGGGAAUAUGGCACAGUGGUGGCAAGCCUGAUGCAGCCAUGCAGCGUGUAUGAAGGAGGCCUUCGGGUUGUAAAGUACUUUCAGCGGGGAUGCGUUACCCGCAGAAGAAGCACCGGCUAACUCCGUGCCAGCCGCCGCGGUAAUUC
rnacentral:rRNA from 1 species